rnacentral:rRNA from 1 species
UACGUAGGGUGCAAGCGUUGUCCGGAAUUAUUGGGCGUAAAGAGCUCGUAGGCGGUCUGUCGCGUCGGCUGUGAAAUCCCGGAGCUCAACUCCGGGUCUGCAGUCGAUACGGGCAAACUGGAGUACUGCAGGGGAGACUGGAAUUCCUGGUGUAGCGGUGAAAUGCGCAGAUAUCAGGAGGAACACCGGUGGCGAAGGCGGGUCUCUGGGCCGAUACUGACGCUGAGGAAGCGAAAGCGUGGGGAGCGAACAGG